rnacentral:rRNA from 1 species
AUAGAGACUCAGAGCUGCAUAUCAAUAAGCGGAGGAAAAGAAACUAACUAAGGAUUCCCUCAGUAACGGCGAGUGAAGCGGGAAGAGCUCAAAUUUGAAAUCUUCAAGGUUUUACCUUGACGAAUUGUAGUUUAAAGAAGUGUUUUCUGUUGGUGUUUUGGUAAAAGUUCUUUGGAGUAGGACAUCAUAGAGGGUGAGAAUCCCGUAUUUGACCUUUACUUUCAACUUUGUGAUACACUUUCAAAGAGUCGGAUUGUUUGGGAAUGCAGUCCAAAAUGGGUGGUAAAUUUCAUCUAAAGCUAAAUAUUGGCGAGAGACCGAUAGCGAACAAGUACCGUGAGGGAAAGAUGAAAAGAACUUUGAAAAGAGAGUUAAACAGUACGUGAAAUUGUCAAAAGGGAAGCGUUUGACACCAGUGUUGUUUUUCUGAAAAUCGAUUAAAGAACUGUUUAUGCUAAGCUGUUUAGACUUUAUCAGCUAUCUGUUUAGUUUUGAGCUUUUCUUUAAUGCACUUUUCAGUUAACAAGUCAACAUCAAUUUCUUUUGCUGUAAAAAAGCUUGAGGAAGGUGGCUUGAGAUUCGUCUUAAGUGUUUAUAGCCUCUUGCCUAUGCAGUCGGAGAGAUUGAGGUCUGCAGCGUAGAUCCUUCGGGGCUAGAUUCAUUUAUGCUAAGUUAUAGCUUUUCAUAGACAACUUGUUGACUAUGUUUGGUCAUGUAGCUUACUCGUAAGUGCUAUUUUACCUACGCUUAGGAUGUUGAGUAGCGACAUACGCAC